rnacentral:tRNA from 1 species
CGCGGGGUAGAGCAGUCCGGUAGCUCGUCAGGCUCAUAACCUGAAAGUCGCAGGUUCAAAUCCUGCCCCCACAACCA